AUGAGCUGCCAAGGCCAUGGGAGCCUCUUGAGUUCACCAACUCUGCUCUUAUUUAGACAAGGCCAUGGUCAAAGUGGAAGUUCUCUCCUCCCUUCAGAGAAAGGUAUUUCUUUGAUGGCCUGUUCUUUCUGCUGGGAUCCCACAGAGAUCAGAAAUUUGUAGCUUUAAUGUAAAACAGGGUGCCAGGAAAGGUGUGUUUCUGAGAAUUCCCCUGUAUGUUAAAGUGAAUUGAUAGUACCUGAUAGCAGAUUGUGCUCUUCACUGACAUCUGGACAAUCGCUCCCUGACUUCAUUAUGGAUUCCACACCUUGAUUAAGAAUACAGCGUGACAUUAGACAGCCAGGGCAAUCUCAGCUGUACUGUCUGCAAUUCCCAUAAUUUUAGGGAUCAGAAAAGAGUACUGACAUGUCAGCCUCAUCUGCAUGUCUAUUCCCUUCUGAAAGAAAACCAGAUGAAGAGGUGUGGCUGUGAAUAUGAGCAACAUAUAAAGGAAAUUGAUGUGAUAAUAAGGUUUGUGAAGUUAAGAAAAGGCUAAGUAGAUGAGUCAAUAGAAGGACUAAUUUGGGCAUUUGGCAAAUGAAAUAAUAAAUGAGUAACAUUGAGAAUUGGCAAUAAGGUUAAAAGGACAGUUGGUCCUUAAAUAAUUGCAAAGCCAAAGUAACUGCCACUAACUCACUAUGUUGAACUGUUUUUUGAGGUAAAGUAUAUUUCACUAUGGAGGGUGAAUCCUGUUGAUAGCUAAUAACUCCUCUUGAAGGGGAUCUAUCUGUAAAAAUAGUAAGAGCUUAAAUAAUGGGAACCUUAGGAAUUAUGGAACGGAAGGAAAACGGCAAAGUAGUAAAAAGAGUCAAUCAAGGAUUUUUAAGGAGAUUAAAGGAGAGUUCUCCUACAUAAUCAAUAAAAGCAACUUGAUAAGUUGAACUUGUAAUACAUUUUUAUGUUUCUGUUUAGAAAAAGGUAGAUAAAUAUUAAGUCAAGUGUAAUUAAAGUAAGAGAUCAGUGACGUCCUUUGGUGAAUAAAUCAGUCAUAGUUUAUGAGUAAGGAUCAAUAUUGCAAGAAGGGAUAUGAGGCAAAUGAAGCCAUUCGACUAUAUAAAUAUUUUUAGAAACCUUUGCAAGCAAUAUUCUGGUAGGUAGGAUUAAUAGGAGUGUGAAAUAUAGCUAAUUGAAAAGGCACAUUUUUAGAAAUGUAAUCCGCAAAACUUUAUUGUAGGAUUAGAUUAAUAUCUUUUAAAUAUUGUUGAAUUUGAAGAGAACUUUCAGUGGUGUUGGCUGGAUUUUUUUUUUCCCUUUUAAUGCUUCAAAAAGCAUUUGUAACAGUUGUGUAGUUAAUCUAAAUACUGUUGUAAAUGUACCAAGGUUAAAGGCUGAGGCAAACAGAAUUGGGAAAGGGAAGGAAUAGAUGUGGUAGUAAGUAACUUAUAACCUUAAUAAGAGUACAGAGAUUGUGUUUGAAUUUUUUUCUGGUGCAAUGUGUAAACUGUAUUGUAACAAAUCAGUGCUAAGCUGUUAUAAAUGUGAAAAAUUAAUAGCAUGGCCUGCUAUUAAAAUAUAGUCCAUAUAAGGAAUUACCAUAAGAUCUAGAAAUUUAGAUCUGAAAUGAGUUAAAGCUUGAUGAACAUAAUAUUGACAUAAUAUAGGGCUAUGUAGCAUUCUUUGAGGAAGUACUUUCCACUGAUAAUACAUUAUGGGCUUAGCAUGGUUUAAAACAGGCACUGCAAAUGUAAAUUUUUCCUGGUCUGUUUUAGCCAAAGGGAUAGUCAAAAACAAUCCUUUAAAUCAAUAACAAAGAAAGAGUAUUUUAAAGGAAUUAAAUUUGGGUUAGGAAAUACAUACUGAAAGGGUCCCAUGGGCUGAUUGCAUUUGUUAACUUCUGGCAAGUCAUGGAGUAGUCUCCACUUGCCAGAUUUCUUUUUUAUGCUAAAAAUAGGUGUAUUCCAGGGGCUGGUAGAAUGUUAAAUAUGACUUAAUUGUAACUGUUGUUUAUCUAGGGCCUCCACCAUGACUACUUUUGCUUUUGUUCAAUCCAUACUGGUGCGCCAGGUAGCCAAGCUAAAGGCAGUGCUGUGUGGGGAUGGUUGAUUUGGUGGAGGUCUCUAUUAUAAAUUCGUAUGAAUAGCAGCCUGAAUUUGUUGUAAUAAACUCGACCCCAAAUAGGAAAGAGAAUGGGAAGAAGAUAAGCUUGAAUAUGAGCAACAAAGCAUUGGCCUCCAGGAUCAUAACAACCAAAACAUUUUUUUUAUCAGGAACUAUAGCAGUGACAGCCAACAGAUUGGUUUUAUAAGUUUUAGUGCCUACUGUUUGAAAUAACUUAAUAACUUUUGUAAACAUUGUUUUAGGUUAAUUAGCAACAGGAUUAGCAUUUUAAAAAGCCAACUGUUUUAAUAAUACUUGUAUAGCCUCCUGAUUUUCCACCUGAUGCCCUAUGGUCUUUUGUCAUUUGUCAAUAAAAAACAUGUAGUUUUCAGUGGAUCCCUGCUUAAUGGCUGAAAAGGCGAUGGAGGGGUCAUGGGCAUCAGGUAUAUUUUCCCACACUUUUAAAGCCAUAUUAGAAACUGGAGUGUAAGCCUCUCACCAAGGGUAAUUAACUUGUUGAUUUGGAUUAGCAAAUGCCCUUUCCCUAGUAAUUGAUCAGUUCCAGUAGGCACAUUGUGGGUCAAAUUAUCCAUGGCCUAGGCAUGAACAAGAUCCUCAUACUCCUGGGCUCAAACUCAAUAUUGGGCUGCCAUCACAAUUACUUUUAUGAAAGUUUGUCAAUUCCAUGGCACCAUCUCAUAACCUCCUUCAAAGCUUUCUAACAGUCCUACAGUAUAAGAACUUUGUAUGCCAUAUUUUGUUAAAAUCUUUUUUUUAUUUCCUUAAAUACAUUAUAAAGUACAGAUUCAUGUCAGGCUGGGGCAUUCUGUGGUCUUUUUUUAAAAAAAAAUAUUUAUUUCUUAGAAAGGCAGAGUUAUAAACAGGCAGAGGCAGAGAGAGAAGUCUUCUAUCCACUAGUUCACUCCCCAAAUGGCUGCAACGGCUGGAGCUGGGCCAUUCGACCUGAAGCCAGGAGCAGGAUCUUCUUCCGGGUUGCUCACCUGGGUGCAAAGGCUAAGGACUUGGGCCAUCCUAUACUGCUUUCCCUGGCCAUAGAAGAUAGCUGAUUGGAAGUGGAGCACCUGGGACUCGAACUCGUGCCCAUAUGGGAUGCUGGCACUACAGGCAGCAGAUUUACCUGCUCUGCCACAGUGCUGGCCCCUCUGUGGUCUUAUAAUAGGGCAAACAGCUUUGAUGAGGGGUCCCCUUGCUCUCGGGCUUUUAUUUAACCUUCCCGGUAAGGCUGAUUGUAUUUCUAUUGUUAGAGCAACCAUAGAAGAAUCAGAUGGUUCUGUAUCAUGUGGCAAAGUUGGAAUGGUUGAGUGGCUCUCCUGGCCAGAGAGAGCCUCCAACAGGCUCACAACCUUGCUGAUUCCAUCCCAACAGCAAUACCAUGCCUGAAGCACAGAAAUGGAGCUCGUGGCUCCUGGUGUAGUUUUUCUCCCAUUUUUUUCCCAGUCUGCCACGUUUAGUUGCCCCCAUCAGGUUACUAAGGGCAACAGCCAUCAGUUUCUUGUAGUAAUUGCUUGAUGAUCUUUUCGGGGAUGGAGUGUUCUUCCUGUUUAAGUAAAUAAUACAAUUCUGUCCUAUGCCUCUGUUGCACUGUGGACAGAGAAUUUACCUUGUUAAAUGACUCACUGGGAUCUCAAAGAGAUGAACAAUACAUCUGUAACCCUUGCCAGGCGAGGUGAGCCGACCCUUGCAUGCUGUGCUGAGGGUCCCUGUUCAGGCGCCACUUGCGGUGAAUUGAUAAUGACAAGACAGGAAAUGAGUCUUCCACAGAAGAGCACUGCCAGAUAGCCCCUGGCUAGCACUUUUUAUUAUGGGGUACAAACAACUAUAUAUGCAGGCAAGUACAUAAGCAUAGUAGUACAUGUACUAAAGCUUUUUAAAGGAACAAAGAAAACCAAGCUCUUAUGUUCCAUGACAAAGGAUGGUGAUGUGAUCCAUAUCAUACAGUAUGCUUUGAUCUAUGUCACAAAUAUUUAAAGCCUUGCUUAAUAUUUCAAGUUCCCAAAACUACCGUACAUCACUAGUUGCAGAUUGCACUUGCUGUGGCCUUCUGCCACCACAUUGCAUUGGGAGGGUGUGCCCUUGCCCAGCCUGCAUAGGCAGAGACAGGACUGCAGCUGUGUCCUAUUCUGGGGGAGUGUGCUUCCCCAAGAACAUUUAGGCAGUUUCCUCCACAAGAAAGAUACUGCAAAUUUCCCUUGUGUCAGUAGCAUUCAAAACAAAUACUCUGUUUUCUCUCUCAGGAUUUUCUUUUUUGGUUGGUUGAGAGAAAAGGCAGGGGAAGGGACAGCUGCCUCACAGACCACAGGCAUGUAACAGACAGUGGCCUUUCGCUGUCUAAAUGCUCAUUUCAAACAACUAGUGUAUGUCAAGAUCACAAGGGGGACUGGAAGAUUUGCUUUAAAAUUUAUUGUCUUUGAUUUUAGCUUUUAUUUAUUCAUUUCUUUAAAGAGAACUGAUUCUGUGUAUUUUAUAUAUACAGGUUUAUGAACAUAAUUGGUCUUCCCAACCACCCUCCUCUCUCUUGCUCCCACACUCCCUCUUCUCCCCUUAUUAUUUUUCUUUUUAUUUUUGCAAUGACGUACUUUAAUUUACUUUAUAAUCACAAGCUUAAUCCCCACUAAAUAAAUUAUUGAAGUAGAAAGACCAGUGUUCCUCUGGAGUACAGACAAGGAUUAUAAAGAAUAAUUGAGUAUCAAGAUGUCAAUUUCACUCAUAUACAUUACUUUUUUUGUACACUGCAUAUUAGUUACCACAAAUCAGAGAAAACGUAUUUGUCUUUUUGAAACUGGCUUGUUUCACUGUGCAUAUGGAUUCUCCAACUGCAUCUAUAUCUUUAAAAAUGACAGGAUUUCAUUCUUCUUAUAGAAUACUUAGUAGUAUUCUAGGGUGUAUGUAUACCGCAUUUUCUUUAUCCAGUCAUCAGUCGAUGGACAUCUAUGUUCAUGUCUUAGCUAUUGUGAAUUGAGCUGCUAUAAACAAAGGCAUACAGAUAACUCUUUCAUAAACUGAUUUCAUUUCCUUUGGGUAAAUUCCUGUCCCCUGGAAAUGUGGUCCCUUCCCUGCUCUUCUGGUAUCUUCCCAUGGUGACAAGCAGCUCAUCUUUUCCCUAUCAACCAUCUUGGGUACCCCCAAUUUUGUUUUAUUAGAGACAGAAGUCUCAUUGGGUACCUGAUUUAUCAUGAAAUUGGUAUUUUCUUGGAUUGUCUAAUAUUAAAAGUAGGUUUCAAUCUAAGUCUUAAUUGAGAUUAUUAAAGUUAUACAAGUACUACAGUUUGAAUAUCCUUGAUUCUUCGUGUUGGAAUAUGUAAAGGGGCUCAUUCUUAUGCAGACUGGAUUAGGAGUAUGAUAAAAACAGUUGCCAGUUUUGCAAGAAGCUAAUGGGAUACGUCUAUCUGAAAAAGAAAACUUAAAGUUAAAAAGUAGUUAAAUUAUACCCUUAGAAUUGUAUUGAAUAUAUUAAUUUUGGCUCUUAGUUCCUGUUUAUUCAUUUUGGGCUGUUUUGGUAAAAUAUAUGCAAUAUAUUAGUUUCUGCCAAAUAGUAUAAAGCAGAUUUAUUUAAAUUGUUCCAAAGACCAGUGAGAUGUUCCAAAAGAAGGGUCUACAGCUUAAGCUGUUUGGGAAAAUGCCAUGCCUUGUGUUUUCUUUUGAGAUUUACCAAAUUCUCAGAGGAAUUUUAGUAAAAAAAUAUGUUUUAGCAGGGAUUUAACAGGCAAAAAUAGUUUCCUAAAAAUUGUUGUUAAUGUCUCACACAACUUUUGGAAAUGCAGAAAUCUGAUCUAACUGUCACACCGAGGUCUCUUGUAGAGGUUCAGCAGCUGUGCAGUGAAGCUUUCUUGGUGAGAAGCCCAUUCCAACGCUGGCAUUCUCAUGUCUCAGUAGCUGGAUUCCUGCUUGAACUUCUAUCCUGUUUGUCAUAGCUGUUGUUCUCCAGUUUUUUAAACUCUAGAAACUUGGUCACUAUUUUCAGGGCUGUAACAAAAGUCCUGAGGGACACCCCAGUCCUUUUAUGAACAUAAUUCUUUGUUCUGAACUGUGUCACCUGGGACCUGGUCUUUAAGGCAUGCUAACAGGUUGCCUGUCCACUUAUGUGUCAGCAUUUUGCUUGCCAGUUUGAUGCUCAUAAUGAAAUCCAGGUAGUACGUGUUAUUCACUUAAGAAAUGUUUACUGAGCACCUACUCUGUGUCACAUGUUUUAGUAGACUCUGCAUCCAGCAGAGAACAUUUCAAGAAUCUUCUCUGCUGUAAUAGGGCUGGUGGUGGGGGAACCAGGCCACAAAUACAUGAGUAAAUAAACAACGAUGUGUGCUGUAAAUAGCUAGUGUGUUGAAAAAAAUCGAACACAUAGUUAUUUUGGAUGGUGUGUGUUUAUAAACUCUUCCACUGCUUGAGAAUGUGGGCAUCAAUCUAACUAUGCAGAACUGUUUCUUUGGUACUGUGAUAAAUAUAAACACAUCAAGUAUGUUAUUAAAUUACUUACAAUAAAAAUGAUGCUGGAUUAGUGAGUUGCUUGUGAACUACGUCUGCUGCAAAUAAACUAGGUUUCUAAGGGAGGUAGCAUUUUCUGAGCUUCUCUGAACCUAUGGUUCCUGUAACUAGCAUGUUGGUAGUGGGACUCUGUAGAAUAUGCCUUUGAGCUUACUGUAAGAAUUAUGAACUCCAAUGGGACAGGAGGCUUGUAAGCCAGGAAAGUUCUUGCAUGGGCUAACAUGGAACCCUUUUUGACCUGGUGUUCAUGAUAGCCCAAGAGUGGCUGUAAGGAUACUCAUGGCCGAAGAGGAACACCAGAGGCUAUGGUUUUGGCAGGCUUGCUUCAUUGUCAUAUAUCCAUUUGAGUGGACUGGUGCCACAUAUGGCCCCUGGCUGUUUUCUGAGACUGUAUAUUGAGUUCAAAAUGACCAGAUCCUGGUGAGCCUAACAGAAGGGAUGGAUAUGUUGAAGCCAAGAGAAGUGAGGGCGUGAGCCCUAGGAAGUUUGCCUCAGAAAGUAGGGAAGGCAAGGACAGAGGCUCUGAAACAAGAAAGCUAGUGUGUGCCAAGAGUCUACAGAACUCUGACAUUCAGGAUUUCAUUCAUAUGGCUAAACUUUUGGAGGGUAGAUAUGGUUAUGGCACUGCCUUCUGAAGGUACUUUUCACUCUAUCUUUUUUUAAAUCUAUAUUUUCCAUGGACUUAAAUUUUUAAAUUCAUAUAAAGAGAACAGAUUUCAUAUAUCCCAUAGGACAAUUCCAAGAAGACAACCACACUUAUCUCACUACACCCAUUCCCCAGUCUCCCUCCCUCCCUUCCCUCUCUUCAUGAGUUUUUACAAAGAUAUAAAUUUAAUCCACUCUAUAUUCACAUACUUAUUUGCCACUAACCAUAAUAUUUAACAAAUACAAAGUAUGAAGACUGCAGUUCCAUAGGAAUAUAAACAAGAGCUAAAAAUGACAAUAUCACAAAAUGUCCUUUCCAUUCCUAUUUUUGUGUUCUAUAUUAACUGUAACAUAUCAGAGAAAAUAUGAUGUGUCUUUUUGAGAUUGGCUUAUUUCACUUUGCAUAAUUUUUUUCAGUUAUUGCAAAUGGCAGGGUUUCAUUCUUUUUUGUGGAUAAAUAGUAUUCCACAGUGUAUAUAUACACCCUGUUUGCUUUAUCCGGUCAACAGUUGAUGGGUAUCUGGGUUGAUUCCAUAUCUUAGCUAUUUGAAUUGAGCUGUAAAAACAUUCAGAUAUAAAUAACUCAUAUACUGAUUUCAUGACCUUUGUGUAAAUUCCCAGGAGUGGGGUGGCAGAGUAUAAUAGAAUAACUAUUAUUAGAUCUAUGAGGAAUGUCUUCCAUAAUGAUUAUACUAGUAUAGAUUUCUACCAACAGUGUAUUAGGGUACCAUUUCUCCCACAUCCUCACCACAUUUACUGUUUUUUGAACUUUGGAUGACAGCCAUUUUAACUGGGGUUAGAUAGAAACUGAUUGGUUUUUGUUUGCAUUUCCUUGAUGGCUAAUGAUCCUGAACAUUUUUUCAAGGUGUAUUAGCCAUUUGUAUUUCAUCAUUUGAAAAAUGUCUGUUCAUGUGUUCUGCCCAUUUCUUAACUAGAUUUUUUGUUGCUGUUGAGUGUUUUGGGCUUGUUAUAAAUCCUAGAUAUUAAUCCUUUAUCAAUUGUGUAAUUUGCAAAUAUUUUUUUCCAUUCUUUUGGCUGCAUGUGAAGAUAGACACCUUGGUUGAUUUCAGAUGUUGGCUAUUGUGAACACUGCUGCUGCAAACAUGGUGGUGCAGGUAUCUCUUUGAUACGUGUGUGUGUUCAUGUCUUUUGGGUAUAUACACAGUAGUGUGAUUGCUAGAUCAUAUAUAGCAAGUCUAUUUCUAGUUUUUAAAGAAAUCUCCACACUGUUUUCCACAGUGGCUGCACUAAAGUACAUUCCCACCAACAGUAUUAAAUAUUUGUCUUUCUCCACAUCUUCACCAGCAUUUGUUAUUCUCUGUGCUUUGGAAUUUACCUGUUCUUACAGGGGUAAAUUGAUACCUCAUUGUGGUUUUGAUUUGUAUUUCUCUAAUGGCUAGAGAUGUUGAGCAUUUUUCAUGUAUUUGUGGGCCAUUUGUAUUUUUCUUUUGAGAACUGCCUUUUGAAAUCCUUUGCCCAUUUCCCAACUGGAUUUGUUGUUUUUUUGGUUGUUGUUGUUGUUGAGUUUUUUAAGUUGAUGAUACAUUCAGGAUAUUAAUCCUUUUUUGGAUAGGUGGUUUGCAAAUAAUUUUUCCCAUUCUGUUUGAUGUCUGCUCACUCUAAUGAUUAUUUCCUUUGCUUGCAAAAGCUUCUGAGUUUUAGAUAGUCCCAUCUAUUUAGUUUUGUUUUUGUUGCCUGUGCUUUGGGCUCUUUUCCAAGAAUUUGUCCUUUACACCAAUGUCUUGGAGUGUUUUCCCUCCAUUUUCUUCCAGCAACUGUAUAGGCUCUGCUUUUAAAUUUAGGUCUUUGAUCCAUCUUGAAUUGAUUUCUAUAUAUAGUGAGCAGUAUGGAUCUAAUCUCAUUCUUCUAAAUUUAUACAUCCAGUUUUGCCUGGACUAUUUGUUGCAGAGAUUAUCUUUACUGCACUAUAUGGUCUGAACACUUUGUUAAAAAAUCAGUAGACGAUAUUUAUGUGGAUUACUUUCUGGGUUCUCGAUUAUGUUUGAUUGAUCUGUGUAUUGGUUUUUAUGGCACUACCAAGCUAUUUUAAUUAAUAUAGCUUUUUUUUUUUUUUGACAGGCAGAGGAUAGUGAGAGAGAGAGAGAGAGAGAGAGAGAAAGGUCUUCCUUUUUGCUGUUGGUUCACCCUCCAAUGGCCGCCGCGGCUGGCACACUGUGGCCAGUGCAUUGCGCUGAUCCAAAGCUGGGAGCCAGGUGCUUCUCUUGGUCUCCCAUGUGGGUGCAGGGCCCAAGGACUUGGGCCAUCUUCCACUGCACUCCCGGGCCAUAGCAGAGAACUGGCCUGGAAGAGGGGCAACUGGGACAGAAUCCGGUGCCCUGACCGGGACUAGAACCUGGUGUGCCAGUGCUGCAGGCGGAGGAUUAGCCUAUUGAGCCGUGGCGCCGGCAAUAUAGCUUUAUAAUAUGCAUUUAAAUCAGGUAU